AGAGAGAGACAUGCGCGCAUAUCAAUAAGCGGAGGAAAAGAAACUAACAAGGAUUCCCCUAGUAACGGCGAGUGAAGCGGGAAGAGCUCAAAUUUGAAAUCUUAAAGGGUUUCCCUUUACGAAUUGUAGUUUAAAGAAGUGUUUUCUGUUGAGGUUUUGGUAAAAGUUCUUUGGAAUAGGACAUCAUAGAGGGUGAGAAUCCCGUAUUUGACCUUUACUUUCAACUUUGUGAUACACUUUCAAAGAGUCGGAUUGUUUGGGAAUGCAGUCCAAAAUGGGUGGUAAAUUUCAUCUAAAGCUAAAUAUUGGCGAGAGACCGAUAGCGAACAAGUACCGUAAGGGAAAGAUGAAAAGAACUUUGAAAAGAGAGUUAAACAGUACGUGAAAUUGUCAAAAGGGAAGCGUUUGACACCAGUGUUGUUUUUCUGAAAAUCAAUUAAAGAACUGUUUAUGCUAAGUUGUUUAGACUUUAUCAGCUAUCUGUUUAGUUUUGAGCUUUUCUUUAAUGCACUUUUCAGUUAACAAGUCAACAUCAAUUUCUUUUGCUGUAAAAAAGCUUGAGGAAGGUGGCUUGAGAUUCGUCUUAAGUGUUUAUAGCCUCUUGCCUAUGCAGUCGGAGAGAUUGAGGUCUGCAGCGUAGAUCCUUCGGGGCUAAAUGCAUUUGUGCUAAGUUAUAGCAUUUUAUAGACAACUUGUUGACUAUGAUUUGUCUUGUAGCUUACUCGCUUAUGUUAUUUUACCUACGCUUAGGAUGUUGACGCAUGAGAUAUACGC
rnacentral:rRNA from 1 species